rnacentral:rRNA from 1 species
UACGUAGGGUGCAAGCGUUGUCCGGAAUUAUUGGGCGUAAAGAGCUCGUAGGCGGUUCGUCGCGUCGGCUGUGAAAUCCCGGAGCUCAACUCCGGGUCUGCAGUCGAUACGGGCGGACUCGAGUUCGGCAGGGGAGACUGGAAUUCCUGGUGUAGCGGUGAAAUGCGCAGAUAUCAGGAGGAACACCGGUGGCGAAGGCGGGUCUCUGGGCCAAUACUGACGCUGAGGAGCGAAAGCGUGGGGAGCGAACAGG